rnacentral:rRNA from 1 species
GCGAAGAACCUUACCUACUCUUGACAUCUACAGAAGCCAGCGGAGACGCAGGUGUGCCUUCGGGAACUGUAAGACAGGUGCUGCAUGGCUGUCGUCAGCUCGUGUUGUGAAAUGUUGGGUUAAGUCCCGCAACGAGCGCAACCCUUAUCCUUGUUUGCCAGCACUUCGGGUGGGAACUCCAGGGAGACUGCCGGUGAUAAACCGGAGGAAGGUGGGGACGACGUCAAGUCAUCAUGGCCCUUACGAGUAGGGCUACACACGUGCUACAAUGGCGCAUACAGAGGGCGGCCAACUUGCGAAAGUGAGCGAAUCCCAAAAAGUGCGUCGUAGUCCGGAUUGGAGUCUGCAACUCGACUCCAUGAAGUCGGAAUCGCUAG